rnacentral:lncRNA from 1 species
ACACGAGGACUUUCCUGGAGGUCACCCAUCCUAGUACUACUCUCGCCCAAGCACGCUUAACUGCGAAGUUCUGAUGGGAUCUGGUGCAUUAGUGCUGGUAUGAUCGCAUCUGUUACUACAUGCAAUGCAAUCGUAUCUAUUCUUUUUUGAAGAUUUUAUGAUUCAUUUACCGUGGGUCCCACCAGCUAUGUAGGAAUAACCUAUCUUAUUUAUAAAAGCUUUGAUACAUGCAAAAUAUUUGAAAACAAUGUCCGAACAUAUAAUGUUCGCCCCAAAAUAUAGCAAAGACCACAAAAAUGCCAUAAAAAGUACAUUAAGGUCAAAAUUAGGAGUAGGAAAAAAAUCAAUAGGAGAAUUCCAUUUUCCUUCCUUCAUUCAUCGGAGAGCUCUCUUUGGGCAUUCCAAAAAGGUAUCACACGCCAAGUUUGGCCUCACGGUCUAAAAGUUAUAGAGUAUUACAUUUUUAACAAAAAAAAAAGAGAAAAACCGAAAAAAAGAGGGAUGCAACACGAAGACUUUUCUGGAGGUCAUCCAUCCUAGUACUACUCUCGCCCAAGCACAUUUAACUGCGGUGUUCUGAUAGGAUCAAGUGCAUUAGUGCUGGUAUGAUCGCAUCAGUUACUACAUGCAAUGCAAUCAUAUAUAUUCUUUUUUGAAGACUUUAUGAUCCAUUUGCCGUAGGUCCCACCAGCUAUGUAGGAAUACCCUAUCUUGUUUAUAAGAGCUUUGAUAGAUGCAAAAUAUUCAAAAACAAUGUCCGAACAUAUAAUUUUUGUCCCGUAAUAUAGCAAAGAUCACGAAAAGGCCAGAAAAAAUACAUUUCGGUCAAAAUUUGGAGUAGAAAAAAAACCCUUCCUCAUUCAUUGGACAGCUCUCUUUGGGCUUUCCGAAAAGGUAUCACAUGCCAAGUUUGGCCUCACGGUCUAAACCUUAUAGACUCAUACAUUUUUCACAAAAAAAAGAAGAGAAAAACCAAAAAAAAGAGUGAUUAAACACGAGGACUUUCCUGGAGGUCACCCAUCCUAGUACUACUCUCGCCCAAGCACGCUUAACUGCGAAGUUCUGAUGGGAUCUGGUGCAUUAGUGCUGGUAUGAUCGCAUCUGUUACUACAUGCAAUGCAAUCGUAUCUAUUCUUUUUUGAAGAUUUUAUGAUUCAUUUACCGUGGGUCCCACCAGCUAUGUAGGACUAACCUAUCUUAUUUAUAAGAUCUUUGAUACAUGCAAAAUAUUGGAAAACAAUGUCCGAACAUAUAAUGUUCGCCCCAAAAUAUAGCAAAGACCACAAAAAUGCCAUAAAAAAUACAUUAAGGUCAAAAUUUGGAGUAGGAAAAAAAUCAAUAGGAGAAUUCCAUUUUCCUUCCCUCAUUCAUCGGAGAGCUCUCUUUGGGCAUUCCAAAAAGGUAUCACAUGCCAAGUUUGGCCUCACGGUCUAAAAGUUAUAGAGUAUUACAUUUUUAACAAAAAAAANNNNNNNNNNNNNNNNNNNNNNNNNNNNNNNNNNNNNNNNNNNNNNNNNNAAAAAAAAGAGUGAUUAAACACGAGGACUUUCCUGGAGGUCACCCAUCCUAGUACUACUCUCGCCCAAGCACGCUUAACUGCGAAGUUCUGAUGGGAUCUGGUGCAUUAGUGCUGGUAUGAUCGCAUCUGUUACUACAUGCAAUGAAAUCGUAUCUAUUCUUUUUUGAAGAUUUUAUGAUUCAUUUACCGUGGGUCCCACCAGCUAUGUAGGAAUAACCUAUCUCGUUUAUAAGAGCUUUGAUACAUGCAAAAUAUUCGAAAACAAUGUCCGAACAUAUAAUGUUUGCCCCAAAAUAUAGAAAAGACCACGAAAAUGCCAUAAAAAGUACAUUAAGGUCAAAAUUUGGAGUAGGAAAAAAAAUCAAUAGGAGAAUUCCAUUUUCCUUCCUCAUUCAUCGGAGAGCUCUCUUUGGGCAUUCCAUAAAGGUAUCACAUGCCAAGUUUGGCCUCACGGUCUAAAAGUUAUAGAGUAAUACAUUUUUAACAAAAAAAAAAGAGAAAAACCGAAAAAAAGAGGGAUGCAACACGAAGACUUUUCUGGAGGUCACCCAUCCUAGUACUACUCUCCCACAAGCACGCUUAACUGUGGUGUUCUGAUAGGAUCAAGUGCAUUAGUGCUGGUAUGAUCGCAUCAGUUACUACAUGUAAUGCAAUCAUAUAUAUUCUUUUUUGAAGACUUUAUGAUCCAUUUGCCGUAGGUCCCACCAGUUAUGUAGGAAUACCCUAUCUCGUUUAUAAGAGCUUUGAUACAUGCAAAAUAUUCGAAAACAAUGUCCGAACAUAUAAUGUUUGCCCCAAAAUAUAGCAAAGACCACGAAAAUGCCAUAAAAAGUACAUUAAGGUCAAAAUUUGGAGUAGGAAAAAAAAUCAAUAGGAGAAUUCCAUUUUCCUUCCUCAUUCAUGGGAGAGCUCUCUUUGGGCAUUCCAAAAAGGUAUCACAUGCCAAGUUUGGCCUCACGGCCUAAAAGUUAUAGAGUAAUACAUUUUUAACAAAAAAAAAAGAGAAAAACCGAAAAAAAGAGGGAUGCAACACGAAGACUUUUCUGGAGGUCACCCAUCCUAGUACUACUCUCCCCCAAGCACGCUUAACUGUGGUGUUCUGAUAGGAUCAAGUGCAUUAGUGCUGGUAUGAUCGCAUCAGUUACUACAUGCAAUGCAAUCAUAUAUAUUCUUUUUUGAAGACUUUAUGAUCCAUUUGCCGUAGGUCCCACCAGCUAUGUAGGAAUACCCUAUCUUGUUUAUAAGAGCUUUGAUACAUGCAAAAUAUUCGAAAACAAUGUCCGAACAUAUAAUUUUUGUCCCGUAAUAUAGCAAAGAUCACGAAAAGGCCAGGAAAAAUACAUUUCGGUCAAAAUUUGGAGUAGAAAAAAAACCCUUCCUCAUUCAUUGGACAGCUCUCUUUGGGCUUUCCGAAAAGGUAUCACAUGCCAAGUUUGGCCUCACGGUCUAAACCUUAUAGACUCAUACAUUUUUCACAAAAAAAAGAAGAGAAAAACCAAAAAAAAGAGUGAUUAAACACGAGGACUUUCCUGGAGGUCACCCAUCCUAGUACUACUCUCGCCCAAGCACGCUUAACUGCGAAGUUCUGAUGGGAUCUGGUGCAUUAGUGCUGGUAUGAUCGCAUCUGUUACUACAUGCAAUGCAAUCGUAUCUAUUCUUUUUUGAAGAUUUUAUGAUUCAUUUACCGUGGGUCCCACCAGCUAUGUAGGACUAACCUAUCUUAUUUAUAAGAUCUUUGAUACAUGCAAAAUAUUGGAAAACAAUGUCCGAACAUAUAAUGUUCGCCCCAAAAUAUAGCAAAGACCACAAAAAUGCCAUAAAAAAUACAUUAAGGUCAAAAUUUGGAGUAGGAAAAAAAUCAAUAGGAGAAUUCCAUUUUCCUUCCCUCAUUCAUCGGAGAGCUCUCUUUGGGCAUUCCAAAAAGGUAUCACAUGCCAAGUUUGGCCUCACGGUCUAAAAGUUAUAGAGUAUUACAUUUUUAACAAAAAAAAACGAGAAAAACCGAUAAAAAGAGGGAUGCAACACCAAGACUUUUCUGGAGGUCACCCAUCCUAGUACUACUCUCCCCCAAGCACGCUUAACUGUGGUGUUCUGAUAGGAUCAAGUGCAUUAGUGCUGGUAUGAUCGCAUCAGUUACUACAUGCAAUGCAAUCAUAUAUAUUCUUUUUUGAAGACUUUAUGAUCCAUUUGCCGUAGGUCCCACCAGCUAUGUAGGAAUACCCUUUCUUGUUUAUAAGAGCUUUGAUACAUGCAAAAUAUUCGAAAACAAUGUCCGAACAUAUAAUUUUUGUCCCGUAAUAUAGCAAACAUCACGAAAAGGCCAGAAAAAAUACAUUUCGGUCAAAAUUUGGAGUAGAAAAAAAACCCUUCCUCAUUCAUUGGACAGCUCUCUUUGGGCUUUCCAAAAAGGUAUCACAUGCCAAGUUUGGCCUCACGGUCUAAACCUUAUAGACUCAUACAUUUUUCACAAAAAAAAGAAGAGAAAAACCAAAAAAAAGAGUGAUUAAACACGAGGACUUUCUUGGAGGUCACCCAUCCUAGUACUACUCUCGCCCAAGCACGCUUAACUGCGAAGUUCUGAUGGGAUCUGGUGCAUUAGUGCUGGUAUGAUCGCAUCUGUUACUACAUGCAAUGAAAUCGUAUCUAUUCUUUUUUGAAGAUUUUAUGAUUCAUUUACCGUGGGUCCCACCAGCUAUGUAGAAAUAACCUAUCUUAUUUAUAAGAGCUUUGAUACAUGUAAAAUAUUCGAAAACAAUGUCCGAACAUAUAAUGUUCGCCCCAAAAUAUAGCAAAGACCACAAAAAUGCCAUAAAAAGUACAUUAAGGUCAAAAUUUGGAGUAGGAAAAAAAUCAAUAAGAGAAUUCCAUUUUCCUUCCCUCAUUCAUCGGAGAUCUCUCUUUGGGCAUUCCAAAAAGGUAUCACAUGCCAAGUUUGGCCUCACGGUCUAAACGUUAUAGAGUAAUACAUUUUUAACAAAAAAAAAAGAGAAAAACCGAAAAAAAGAGGGAUGCAACACGAAGACUUUUCUGGAGGUCACCCAUCCUAGUACUACUCUCCCCCAAGCACGCUUAACUGUGGUGUUCUGAUAGGAUCAAGUGCAUUAGUGCUGGUAUGAUCGCAUCAGUUACUACAUGCAAUGCAAUCAUAUAUAUUCUUUUUUGAAGACUUUAUGAUCCAUUUGCCGUAGGUCCCACCAGCUAUGUAGGAAUACCCUUUCUUGUUUAUAAGAGCUUUGAUACAUGCAAAAUAUUCGAAAACAAUGUCCGAACAUAUUAUUUUUGUCCCGUAAUAUAGCAAAGAUCACGAAAAGGCCAGGAAAAAUACAUUUCGGUCAAAAUUUGGAGUAGAAAAAAAACCCUUCCUCAUUCAUUCGACAGCUCUCUUUGAGCUUUCCGAAAAGGUAUCACAUGCCAAGUUUGGCCUCACGGUCUAAACCUUAUAGACUCAUACAUUUUUCACAAAAAAAAAGAAGAGAAAAACCAAAAAAUAGAGUGAUUAAACGCGAGGACUUUCCUGGAGGUCACCCAUCCUAGUACUACUCUCGCCCAAGCACGCUUAACUGCGAAGUUCUGAUGGGAUCUGGUGCAUUAGUGCUGGUAUGAUCGCAUCUGUUACUACAUGCAAUGAAAUCGUAUCUAUUCUUUUUUGAUGAUUUUAUGAUUCAUUUACCGUGGGUCCCAGCAGCUAUGUAGGAAUAACCCAUCCUUGUUUAUAAGAGCUUUCAUACAUGCAAAAUAUUCAAAAACAAUGUCCGAACAUAUAAUUUUUGUCCGGUAAUAUUGCAAAGAUCACGAAAAGGCCAGAAAAAAUACAUUUCGGUCAAAAUUUGGAGUAGAAAAAAAACCCUUCCUCAUUCAUUGGACAGCUCUCUUUGGGUUUUCCGAAAAGGUAUCACAUGCCAAGUUUGGCCUCACGGUCUAAACCUUAUAGACUCAUACAUUUUUCACAAAAAAAAGAAGAGAAAAACCAAAAAAAAGAGUGAUUAAACACGAGGACUUUCCUGGAGGUCACCCAUCCUAGUACUACUCUCGCCCAAGCACGCUUAACUGCGAAGUUCUGAUGGGAUCUGGUGCAUUAGUGCUGGUAUGAUCGCAUCUGUUACUACAUGCAAUGCAAUCAUAUCUAUUCUUUUUUGAAGAUUUUAUGAUUCAUUUACCGUGGGUCCCACCAGCUAUGUAGGAAUAACCUAUCUUAUUUAUAAAAGCUUUGAUACAUGCAAAAUAUUCGAAAACAAUGUCCGAACAUAUAAUGUUCGCCCCAAAAUAUAGCAAAGACCACAAAAAUGCCAUAAAAAGUACAUUAAGGUCAAAAUUUGGAGUAGGAAAAAAAUCAAUAGGAGAAUUCCAUUUUCCUUCCCUCAUUCAUCGGAGAGCUCUCUUUGGGCAUUCCAAAAAGGUAUCACAUGCCAAGUUUGGCCUUACGGUCUAAAAGUUAUAGAGUAAUACAUUUUUAACAAAAAAAAAAGAAAAAAACCGAAAACAAAGAGGGAUGCAACACGAAGACUUUCCUGGAGGUCACCCAUCCUAGUACUACUCUCGCCCAAGCACACUUAACUGCGGUGUUCUGAUAGGAUCAAGUGCAUUAGUGCUGGUAUGAUCGCAUCAGUUACUACAUGCAAUGCAAUCAUAUAUAUUCUUUUUUGAAGACUUUAUGAUCCAUUUGCCGUAGGUCCCACCAGCUAUGUAGGAAUACCCUAUCUCGUUUAUAAGAGCUUUGAUACAUGCAAAAUAUUCGAAAACAAUGUCCGAACAUAUAAUUUUUGUCCCGUAAUAUAGCAAAGAUCACGAAAAGGCCAGAAAAAAUACAUUUCGGUCAAAAUUUGGAGUAGAAAAAAAACCCUUCCUCAUUCAUUGGACAGCUCUUUUUGGGCUUUCCGAAAAGGUAUCACAUGCCAAGUUUGGCCUCACGGUCUAAACCUUAUAGACUCAUACAUUUUUCACAAAAAAAAGAAGAGAAAAACCAAAAAAAAGAGUGAUUAAACACGAGGACUUUCCUGGAGGUCACCCAUCCUAGUACUACUCUCGCCCAAGCACGCUUAACUGCGAAGUUCUGAUGGGAUCUGGUGCAUUAGUGCUGGUAUGAUCGCAUCUGUUACUACAUGCAAUGCAAUCGUAUCUAUUCUUUUUUGAAGAUUUUAUGAUUCAUUUACCGUGGGUCCCACCAGNNNNNNNNNNNNNNNNNNNNNNNNNNNNNNNNNNNNNNNNNNNNNNNNNNUCACGGUUUAAAAGUUAUAGAGUCAUACAUUUUUCCCAAAAAAACCAAGAGAAAACCAAAAAAAAAGAGUGAUGAAACACGAGGACUUUCCUGGAGGUCACCCAUCCUAGUACUACUCUCGCCCAAGCACGCUUAACUGCGAAGUUCUGAUGGGAUCUGGUGCAUUAGUGCUGGUAUGAUCGCAUCAGUUACUACAUGCAAUGCAAUCGUAUAUAUUCUUUUUUGAAGACUUUAUGAUCCAUUUGUCGUAGGUCCCACCAGUUAUGUAGGAAUACCCUAUCUCGUUUAUAAGAGCUUUGAUACAUGCAAAAUAUUCGAAAACAAUGUCCGAACAUAUAAUGUUUGCCCCAAAAUAUAGCAAAGACCACGAAAAUGCCAUAAAAAGUACAUUAAGGUCAAAAUUUGGAGUAGGAAAAAAAUCAAUAGGAGAAUUCCAUUUUCCUUCCUCAUUCAUUGGAGAGCUCUCUUUGGGCAUUCCAAAAAGGUAUCACAUGGCAAGUUUGGCCUCACGGUCUAAAAGUUAUAGAGUAAUACAUUUUUAACAAAAAAAAAAGAGAAAAACCGAAAAAAAGAGGGAUGCAACACGAAGACUUUUCUGGAGGUCACCCAUCCUAGUACUACUCUCCCCCAAGCACGCUUAACUGUGGUGUUCUGAUAGGAUCAAGUGCAUUAGUGCUGGUAUGAUCGCAUCAGUUACUACAUGCAAUGCAAUCAUAUAUAUUCUUUUUUGAAGACGUUAUGAUCCAUUUGCCGUAGGUCCCACCAGCUAUGUAGGAACACCCUAUCUUGUUUAUAAGAGCUUUGAUACAUGCAAAAUAUUCGAAAACAAUGUCCGAACAUAUAAUUUUUGUCCCGUAAUAUAGCAAAGAUCACGAAAAGGCCAGAAAAAAUACAUUUCGGUCAAAAUUUGGAGUAGAAAAAAAACCCUUCCUCAUUCAUUGGACAGCUCUCUUUGGGCUUUCCGAAAAGGUAUCACAUGCCAAGUUUGGCCUCACGGUCUAAAAGUUAUAGAGUCAUACAUUUUUCACAAAAAAAACAAGAGAAAAACAAAAAAAAAGAGUGAUGAAACACGAGGACUUUCCUGGAGGUCACCCAUCCUAGUACUACUCUCGCCCAAGCACGCUUAACUGCGAAGUUCUGAUGGGAUCUGGUGCAUUAGUGCUGGUAUGAUCGCAUCUGUUACUACAUGCAAUGCAAUCGUAUAUAUUCUUUUUUGAAGACUUUAUGAUCCAUUUGUCGUAGGUCCCACCAGUUAUGUAGGAAUACCCUAUCUCGUUUAUAAGAGCUUUGAUACAUGCAAAAUAUUCGAAAACAAUGUCCGAACAUAUAAUGUUUGCCCCAAAAUAUAGCAAAGACCACGAAAAUGCCAUAAAAAGUACAUUAAGGUCAAAAUUUGGAGUAGGAAAAAAAAUCAAUAGGAGAAUUCCAUUUUCCUUCCUCAUUCAUUGGAGAGCUCUCUUUGGGCAUUCCAAAAAGGUAUCACAUGCCAAGUUUGGCCUCACGGUCUAAAAGUUAUAGAGUAAUACAUUUUUAACAAAAAAAAAAGAGAAAAACCGAAAAAAAGAGGGAUGCAACACGAAGACUUUUCUGGAGGUCACCCAUCCUAGUACUACUCUCCCCCAAGCACGCUUAACUGUGGUGUUCUGAUAGGAUCAAGUGCAUUAGUGCUGGUAUGAUCGCAUCAGUUACUACAUGCAAUGCAAUCAUAUAUAUUCUUUUUUGAAGACUUUAUGAUCCAUUGUCGUAGGUCCCACCAGCUAUGUAGGAAUACCCUUUCUUGUUUAUAAGAGCUUUGAUACAUGGAAAAUAUUCGAAAACAAUGUCCGAACAUAUAAUUUUUGUCCCGUAAUAUAGCAAAGAUCACGAAAAGGCCAGAAAAAAUACAUUUCGGUCAAAAUUUGGAGUAGAAAAAAAGCCCUUCCUCAUUCAUUGGACAGCUCUCUUUGGGCUUUCCGAAAAGGUAUCACAUGCCAAGUUUGGCCUCACGGUCUAAACCUUAUAGACUCAUACAUUUUUCACAAAAAAAAGAAGAGAAAAGCCAAAAAAAAAGAGUGAUUAAACACGAGGACUUUCCUGGAGGUCACCCAUCCUAGUACUACUCUCGCCCAAGCACGCUUAACUGCGAAGUUCUGAUGGGAUCUGGUGCAUUAGUGCUGGUAUGAUCGCAUCUGUUACUACAUGCAAUGAAAUCGUAUCUAUUCUUUUUUGAAGAUUUUAUGAUUCAUUUACCGUGGGUCCCACCAGCUAUGUAGGAAUAACCUAUCUUAUUUAUAAGAUCUUUGAUACAUGCAAAAUAUUGGAAAACAAUGUCCGAACAUAUAAUGUUCGCCCCAAAAUAUAGCAAAGACCACAAAAAUGCCAUAAAAAGUACAUUAAGGUCAAAAUUUGGAGUAGGAAAAAAACCAAUAAGAGAAUUCCAUUUUCCUUCCCUCAUUCAUCGGAGAUCUCUCUUUGGGCAUUCCAAAAAGGUAUCACAUGCCAAGUUUGGCCUCACGGUCUAAAAGUUAUAGAGUAAUACAUUUUUAACAAAAAAAAAAAGAGAAAAACCGAAAAAAAGAGGGAUGCAACACGAAGACUUUUCUGGAGGUCACCCAUCCUAGUACUACUCUCCCCCAAGCACGCUUAACUGUGGUGUUCUGAUAGGAUCAAGUGCAUUAGUGCUGGUAUGAUCGCAUCAGUUACUACAUGUAAUGCAAUCAUAUAUAUUCUUUUUUGAAGACUUUAUGAUCCAUGUGCCGUAGGUCCCACCAGCUAUGUAGGAAUACCCUAUCUCAUUUAUAAGAGCUUUGAUACAUGCAAAAUAUUCGAAAACAAUGUCCGAACAUAUAAUGUUUGCCCCAAAAUAUAGCAAAGACCACGAAAAUGCCAUAAAAAGUACAUUAAGGUCAAAAUUUGGAGUAGGAAAAAAAAUCAAUAGGAGAAUUCCAUUUUCCUUCCUCAUUCAUUGGAGAGCUCUCUUUGGGCAUUCCAAAAAGGUAUCACAUGGCAAGUUUGGCCUCACGGUCUAAAAGUUAUAGAGUAAUACAUUUUUAACAAAAAAAAAAGAGAAAAACCGAAAAAAAGAGGGAUGCAACACGAAGACUUUUCUGGAGGUCACCCAUCCUAGUACUACUCUCCCCCAAGCACGCUUAACUGUGGUGUUCUGAUAGGAUCAAGUGCAUUAGUGCUGGUAUGAUCGCAUCAGUUACUACAUGCAAUGCAAUCAUAUAUAUUCUUUUUUGAAGACGUUAUGAUCCAUUUGCCGUAGGUCCCACCAGCUAUGUAGGAACACCCUAUCUUGUUUAUAAGAGCUUUGAUACAUGCAAAAUAUUCGAAAACAAUGUCCGAACAUAUAAUUUUUGUCCCGUAAUAUAGCAAAGAUCACGAAAAGGCCAGAAAAAAUACAUUUCGGUCAAAAUUUGGAGUAGAAAAAAAACCCUUCCUCAUUCAUUGGACAGCUCUCUUUGGGCUUUCCGAAAAGGUAUCACAUGCCAAGUUUGGCCUCACGGUCUAAAAGUUAUAGAGUCAUACAUUUUUCACAAAAAAAACAAGAGAAAAACAAAAAAAAAGAGUGAUGAAACACGAGGACUUUCCUGGAGGUCACCCAUCCUAGUACUACUCUCGCCCAAGCACGCUUAACUGCGAAGUUCUGAUGGGAUCUGGUGCAUUAGUGCUGGUAUGAUCGCAUCUGUUACUACAUGCAAUGCAAUCGNNNNNNNNNNNNNNNNNNNNNNNNNNNNNNNNNNNNNNNNNNNNNNNNNNUAUGAUCGCAUGUGUUACUACAUGCAAUGUAAUCGUAUCUAUUCUUUUUUAAAGACUUUAUGAUCCAUUUGCCGUGAGUCCCACCAGCUAUGUAGGAAUAUUCUAUCUUCUUUAUAAGAGCUUUGAUACAUGCAAAAUACNUGGAAAACAAUGUCCGAACAUAUAAUUUUCCCCCCGUAAUAUAGCANAGAUCACGAAAAGGCCCGAAAAAGUACAUUUAGUUCANAAUUUGGAGUAGAAAAAAAAACAAUAGAAGAAUUCCAUUUUCCUUCCUCAAUCAUCGGAGAGCUCUCUUUGGGCUUUCCGAAAAGGUAUCUCAUGCCAAGUUUGGCCUCACGAACUAAAAGUUAUAGAGUCAUACAUUUUUAACAAAACAAAAUAGAGAAAAACCGAAAAAAGAGGGAUGCAACACAAGGACUUUCCGGGAGGUCACCCAUCCUAGUACUACUCUCGCCCAAGCACCCUUAACUGCGGAGUUCUGAUGGGAUCCGGUGCAUUAGUGCUGGUAUGAUCGCCCGUGUUACUACAUGCAAUGCAAUCGUAUCUAUUCUUUUUUAAAGAUUUUAUGAUCCAUUUGCCGUGGGUCCCACCAGCUAUGUAGGAAUACCCUAUCUUCUUUAUAAGAGGUUUGAUACAUACAAAAUAUUGGAUCACAAUGUCAGAACAUAUAAUUUUCCCCCCUUAAUAUAGCAAAGAUCACUAAAAGGCCCGAAAAAAUACAUUUAGUUCAAAAUUUGGAGUAGAAAAAAAAACAAUAGAAGAAUUCCAUUUUCCUUCCUCAGUUAUCGGAGAACUCUCUUUGGGCUUUCCGAAAAGGUAUCACAUGCCAAGUUUGGCCUCACGGUCUAAAAGAUAUAGAGUCAUACAUUAUUAACAAAACAAAAUAGAGAAAAACCGAAAAAAAGAAGGAUGCAACACGAGGACUUUGCGGGAGGUAAUCUAUCCUAGUACUACUCUCGCCCAAGCACCCUUAACUGCGGAGUUCUGAUGGGAUCCGGUGCAUUAGUGCUGGUAUGAUCGCAUGUGUUACUACAUGCAAUGUAAUCGUAUCUAUUCUUUUUUAAAGACUUUAUGAUCCAUUUGCCGUGGGUCCCACCAGCUAUGUAGGAAUACUCUAUCUACUUUAUAAGAGCUUUGAUACAUGCAGAAUAUUGGAAAACAACGUCCGAACAUAUAAUUUCCCCCCCCCCCCCCGUAAUAUAGCAAAAAUCACGAAAAGGCCCGAAAAAGUACAUUUAGUUCAAAAUUUGGAGUAGAAAAAAAAACAAUAGAAGAAUUUCAUUUUCCUUCCUCAGUCAUCGGAGAGCUCUCUUUGGGCUUUCCAAAAAGGUAUCACAUGCCAAGUUUGGCCUCACAGUCUAAAAGUUAUAGAGUCAUACAUUUUUAACAAAACAAAAUAGAGAAAAACCGAAAAAAAGAGGGAUGCAACACGAGGACUUUCCGGGAGGUAAUCUAUCCUAGUACUACUCUCGCCCAAGCACCCUUAACUGCGGAGUUCUGAUGGGAUCCGGUGCAGUAGUGCUGGUAUGAUUGCAUGUGUUACUACAUGCAAUGUAAUCGUAUCUAUUCUUUUUUAAAGACUUUAUGAUCCAUUUGCCGUGAGUCCCACCAGCUAUGUAGGAAUAUUCUAUCUUCUUUAUAAGAGCUUUGAUACAUGCAAAAUACUGGAAAACAGUGUCCGAACAUAUAAUUUUCCCCCCGUAAUAUAGCAAAGAUCACGAAAAGGCCCGAAAAAGUACAUUUAGUUCAAAAUUUGGAGUAGAAAAAAAAACAAUAGAAGAAUUCCAUUUUCCUUCCUCAAUCAUCGGAGAGCUCUCUUUGGGCUUUCCGAAAAGGUAUCUCAUGCCAAGUUUGGCCUCACGAACUAAAAGUUAUAGAGUCAUACAUUUUUAACAAAACAAAAUAGAGAAAAACCGAAAAAAGAGGGAUGCAACACAAGGACUUUCCAGGAGGUCACCCAUCCUAGUACUACUCUCGCCCAAGCACCCUUAACUGCGGAGUUCUGAUGGGAUCCGGUGCAUUAGUGCUGGUAUGAUCGCAUGUGUUACUACAUGCAAUGUAAUCGUAUCUAUUCUUUUUUAAAGAUUUUAUGAUCCAUUUGCCGUGGGUCCCACCAGCUAUGUAGGAAUACCCUAUCUUCUUUAUAAGAGCUUUGAUACAUACAAAAUAUUGGAUCACAAUGUCAGAACAUAUAAUUUUCCCCCCUUAAUAUAGCAAAGAUCACUAAAAGGCCCGAAAAAAUACAUUUAGUUCAAAAUUUGGAGUAGAAAAAAAAACAAUAAAAGAAUUCCAUUUUCCUUCCUCAGUUAUCGGAGAACUCUCUUUGGGCUUUCCGAAAAGGUAUCACAUGCCAAGUUUGGCCUCACGGUCUAAAAGAUAUAGAGUCAUACAUUAUUAACAAAACAAAAUAGAGAAAAACCGAAAAAAAUAGGGAUGCAACACGAGGACUAUCCUGGAGGUCACCCAUCCUAGUACUAAUCUCGCCCAACCACCCUUAACUGCGUAGUUCUGAUGGGAUCCGAUGCAUUAGUGCUGGUAUGAUCGCAUUUGUUACUAUAUGCAAUAUAAUCGUAUCUAUUCUUUUUUAAAGACUUUAUGAUCCAUUUGCCGUGGGUCCCACCAGCUAUGUAGGAUACCCUAUCUUCAUAAUAAGAGCUUUGAUAAAUGCAAAAUAUUGGAAAACAAUGUCCGAACAUAUAAUUUCCCCCCCCCCCCCCGGUAAUAUAGCAAAGAUCACGAAAUAGCCCAAAAAAGUACAUUUAGGUCAAAAUUUGAGUAGAAAAAAAACAAAUAGAGGAAUUCCAUUUUCCGUCCUCAUUCAUCGGAGAGCUCUCUUUCGGCUUUCCGAAAAGGUAUCACAUGCCAAGUUUGGCCUCACGGUCUAAAAGUUAUAGAGUCAUACAUUUUAAACAAAACAAAAUAGAGAAAAACCGAAAAAAAGAAGGAUGCAACACGAGGACUUUCCGGGAGGUCACCCAUCCUAGUACUACUCUCGCCCAAGCACCCUUAACUGCGGAGUUCUGAUGGGAUCAGGUGCAUUAGUGCUGGUAUGAUCGCAUGUGGUACUACAUGCAAUGUAAUCGUAUAUAUUCUUUUUUAAAGACUUUAUGAUCCAUUUGCCGUGGGUCCCACCAGCUAUGUAGGAAUACCCUAUCUUCUUUAUAAGAGCUUUGAUACAUGCAAAAUAUUUGAAAACAAUGUCCGAACAUAUAAUUUUCCCCCCGUUAUAUAGCAAAGAUCACGAAAAGGCCCGAAAAAGUACAUUUAGUUCAAAAUUUGGAGUAGAAAAAAAGACAAUAGAAGAAUUUCAUUUUCCUUCCUCAGUAAUCGGAGAGCUCUCUUUGGGCUUUCCGAAAAGGUAUCACAUGCCAAGUUUGGCUUCACGGUAUAAAAGUUAUAGAGUCAUACAUUUUUAACAAAAAAAAACUAGAAAAACAGAAAAAAAGAGGGAUGCAAUACGAGGACUUUCCAGGAGGUCACCCAUCCUAGUACAACUCUCGCCGAAGCACGCUUAACUGCGGUGUUCAGAUGGGAUCUGGUGCAUUAGUGCUGGUAUGAUGGCAUUUGUUACUACAUGCAAUGCAAUCGUAUCUAUUCUUUUGUAAAGACUUUAUGAUCCAUUUGCCGUGGGUUCCACCAGCUAUGUAGGAAUACCCUAUCUUGUUUAUAAGAGAUUUGAUACAUGCAAAAUAUUCGAACACAAUGUCCGAACAUAUAAUUUUUGCCCCGUAAUAUAGCAAAGAUCACGAAAAGGCCCGAAAAAGUACAUUAAGGUCAAAAUUUGGAGUAGAAAAAAAACACAAUAGAAGUAUUCCAUUGUCCUUCGUCAUUCAUCGAAGAGCUCUCUUUGGGCUUUUCGAAAUGAUAUCAUAUGCCAAGUUUGGCCUCACGGUCUAAAAUUUAUAGAGUCAUACAUUUUUAACAAAACAAAAAGAGAAAAACCGAAAAAAAGAGGGAUGCAACACGAGGACUUUCCUGGAGGUCACCCAUCCUAGUACUACUCUCGCCCAAGCACCCUUAACUGCGUAGUUCUGAUGGGAUCCGAUGCAUUAGUGCUGGUAUGAUCGAAUCUGUUACUACAUGUAAUGCAAUCAUAUAUAUUCUUUUUUGAAGACUUUAUGAUCCAUUUGCCGUAGGUCCCACCAGCUAUGUAGGAAUACCCUAUCUCGUUUAUAAGAGCUUUGAUACAUGCAAAAUAUUCGAAAACAAUGUCCGAACAUAUAAUGUUUGCCCCAAAAUAUAGCAAAGACCACGAAAAUGCCAUAAAAAGUACAUUAAGGUCAAAAUUUGGAGUAGGAAAAAAAAUCAAUAGGAGAAUUCCAUUUUCCUUCCUCAUUCAUCGGAGAGCUCUCUUUGGGCAUUCCAAAAAGGUAUGACAUGCCAAGUUUGGCCUCACGGUCUAAAAGUUAUAGAGUAAUACAUUUUUAACAAAAAAAAAAGAGAANAAACCGAAAAAAAGAGGGAUGCAACACGAAGACUUUUCUGGAGGUCAUCCAUCCUAGUACUACUCUCCCCCAAGCACGCUUAACUGUGGUGUUCUGAUAGGAUCAAGUGCAUUAGUGCUGGUAUGAUCGCAUCAGUUACUACAUGCAAUGCAAUCAUAUAUAUNNNNNNNNNNNNNNNNNNNNNNNNNNNNNNNNNNNNNNNNNNNNNNNNNNAAAGUCAAAAUUUGGAGUAGAAAAAAACCCAAUAGAAGUAUUCCAUUCUCCUUCGUCAUUCAUCGGAGAGCUCUCUUUAGGCUUUCCGAAAAGAUAUCACAUGCCAAGUUUGGCCUCACGGUUUAAAAGUUAUAGAGUCAUAGAUUUUUAACAAAACAAAAAGAGAAAAACCGAAAAAAAUUGGGAUGCAACACGAGGACUUUCCUGGAGGUCACCCAUCCUAGUACUACUCUCGCCCAAGCACCCUUAACUGCGUAGUUCUGAUGGGAUCCGAUGCUNUAGUGCUGGUAUGAUCGCAUCUGUUACUACAUGCAAUGUAAUCGUAUCUAUUCUUUNUUAAAGACUUUAUGAUCCAUUUGCCGUGGGUCCCACCAGCUAUGUAGGAAUACCCUAUCUUCUNUAUAAGAGCNUUUGAUAAAUGCANAAUAUUGGAAACCAAUGUCCGAACAUAUAAUUUCGCCCCCGUAAUAUAGCANAGAUCACGAAAAAGCCCAAAAAAGUUCAUUUAGGUCAAAAUUUGAGCAGAAGAAAAAGAAAUAGAAGAAUUCCAUUUUCCUUCCUCAUUUAUUGGAGAGCUCUCUUUGGGCUUUCCGAAAAGGUAUCACAUGCCAAGUUUGGCCUCACGGUCUAAAAGUUAUAGAGUCAUACAUUUUUAACAAAAUGAAAUAGAGAAAAACCGAAAAAAAGAGGGAUGUAACACGAGGACUUUCCGGGAGGUAAUCUAUCCUACUACUACUCUCGGCCAAGCACCCUUAACUGCGGAGUUCUAAUGGGAUCCGGUGCAUUAGUGCUGGUAUGAUCGCAUGUGUUACUACAUGCAAUGUAAUCGUAUCUAUUCUUUUUUAAAGACUUUAUGAUCCAUUUGCCGUGGGUCCCACCAGCUAUGUAGGAAUACCCUAUCUUCUUUAUAAGAGCUUUGAUACAUGCAAAAUAUAUGAAAAAAACGUCCGAACAUAUAAUUUUCCCCCCGUAAUAUAGCAAAGAUCAUGAAAAGGCCCAAAAAAGUACAUUAAUGUCAAAAUUUGGCGUAGAAAAAAAACCAAUAGACAUAUUCCAUUGUCCUUCGUCAUUCAUUGAAGAGCUCUCUUUGGGCUUUCCGAAAAGGUAUCACAUGCCAAGUUUGGCCUCACGGUCUAAAAGUUAUAGAGUCAUACAUUUUUAACAAUACAAAAUAGAGAAAAACCGAAAAAAAGAGGGAUGCAACACGAGGACUUUCCGGGAGGUAAUCCAUCCUAGUACUACUCUCGCCCAAGCACCCUUAACUGCGGAGUUCUGAUGGGACCCGGUGCAUUAGUGCUGGUAUGAUCGCAUCUGUUACUAUAUGCAAUGUAAUCGUAUCUAUUCUUUUUUAAAGACUUUAUGAUCCAUUUGCCGUGGGUCCCACCAGCUAUGUAGGAAUACCCUAUCUUCUUUAUAAGAGCUUUGAUAUAUGCAAAAUAUUGGAACACCAUGUCCGAACAUAUAAUUUUUCCCGUGUAAUAUAGCAAAGAUCAAGAAAAAGAAAAAAAAGUACAUUUAGGUCAAAAUUUGAGUAGAAAAAAACAAAUAGAAGAAUUCCAUUUUCCUUCCUCAUUCAGCUGAGAGCUCUCUUUGGGCUUUCCGAAAAGGUAUCAUAUGCCAAGUUUGGCCUCACAGUGUAAAAGUUAUAGAGUCUAACAUUUUUAACAAAACAAAAUAGAGAAAAACCAAAAAAAGAGGGAUGCAACACGAGGACUUUCUGGGAGGUCACCCAUCCUAGUACUACUCUCGCCCAAGCACCCUUAACUGCGGAGUUCUGAUGGGAUCCGGUGCAUUAGUGCUGGUAUGAUCGCAUGUGUUACUACAUGCAAUGUAAUCCUAUCUAUUCUUUCUUAAAGACUUUAUGAUCCAUUUGCCGUGAGUCCCACCAGCUAUGUAGGAAUACCCUAUCUUCUUUAUAAGAGCUUUGAUACAUGCAAAAUAUUGGAAAACAAUGUCCGAACAUAUAGUUUUCCCCCGUAAUAUAGCAAAGAUCACGAAAAGGCCCGAAAAAGUACAUUUAGUUCAAAAUUGGGAGUAGAAAAAAAAAACAAUAGAAGAAUUCCAUUUUACUUCCUCAGUCAUCGGAGAGCUCUCUUUGGGCUUUCCGAAAAGGUAUCACAUGCCCAGUUUGGCCUCACGGUCUAAAAGUUAUAAAGUCAUACAUUUUUAACAAAAAAAAAAGAGAAAAACCGAAAAAAAGAGGGAUGCAAUACGAGGACUUUCCACGAGGUCACCCAUCCUAGUACAACUCUCGCCAAAGCAUGCUUAACUGCGGAGUUUAGAUGGGAUCUGGUGCAUUAGUGCUGGUAUGAUCGCAUCUGUUACUACAUGCAAUGCAAUCGUAUCUAUUCUUAUUUAAAGACUUUAUCAUCCAUUUGCCAUGGGUCCCACCUGUAGGAAUACCCAAUCUUGUUUAUAAGAGCUUUGAUACAUGCAAAAUAUUCGAAAACAACGUCCGAACAUAUAAUUUUCGCCCCGUAAUAUAGCAAAGAUCACGAAAAGGCCCGAAAAAGUACAUUAAGGUCAAAAUUUGGAAUAGAAAAAAAAACCAAAAGAAGUAUUCCAUUGUCCUUUGUCAUUCAUCGAAGAGCUCUCUUUGGGCUUUCCGAAAAGGUAUCGCAAGCCAAGUUUGGCCUCACGGUUUAAAAGUUAUAAAGUCAUACAUUUUUAACAAAAAAAAAAAGAGAAAAAACCGAAAAAAAGAGGGAUGCAACACGAGGACUUUUCUGGAGGUCACCCAUCCUAGUACUACUCUCGCCCGAUCACCCUUAACUGCGUAGUUUUGAUGGGAUUCGAUGCAUUAGUGCUGGUAUGAUCGCAUCUGUUACUACAUGCAAUGUAAUCGUAUCUAUUCUUUUUUAAAGACUUUAUGAUCCAUUUGCCGUGGGUCCCACCAGCUAUGUAGGAAUACCCUAUCUUCUUUAUAAGAGCUUUGAUAUAUGCAAAAUAGUGGAAAACCAUGUCCGAACAUAUAAUUUUUCCCCUGUAAUAUAGCAAAGAUCAAGAAAAAGCCAAAAAAAGUAUAUUUAGGUCAAAAUUUGGAGUAGAAAAAAAAACAAUAGAAGAAUUCCAUUUUCCUUCCUCAGUCAUCGGAGAGCUCUCUUUCGGCUUUCCGAAAAGGUAUCAAAUGCCAAGUUUGGCCUCACGGUCUAAAAGUUAUAGAGUCAUACAUUUUUAACAAUACAAAGUAGAGAAAACCGGAAAAAAGAGGGAUGCAACAUGAGGACUUUCCGGGAGGUAAUCCAUCCUAGUACAACUCUUGCCCAAGCACCCUUAACUGCGGAGUUCUGAUGGAAUCCGGUGCAUUAGUGCUGGUAUGAUCGCAUGUGUUACUACAUGNNNNNNNNNNNNNNNNNNNNNNNNNNNNNNNNNNNNNNNNNNNNNNNNNNCCAAAAAGGUAUCACAUGCCAAGUUUGGCCUCNCGGUCUAAAAGUUAUAGAGUCAUACAUUUUUAACAAACCAAAAUAGAGAAAACCGGAAAAAAGAGGGAUGCAACACGAGGACUUUCCGGGAGGUCACCCAUCCUAGUACUACUUUCGCCCAAGCACCCUUAACUGCGGAGUUCUGAUGGGAUCCGGUGCAUUAGUGCUGGUAUGAUCGCAUGUGUUACUACAUGCAAUGUAAUCAUAUUUCUUGUUAUUUAAAGAUUUUAUGAUCCAUUUGCCGUGGGUCCCACCAUCUAUGUAGGAAUACCUUAUCUUCUUUAUAGGAGCUUUGAUACAUGCAAAAUAUUGGAAAACAAUAUCCGAACAUAUAUCUUUCCCCCCGUAAUAUAGCAAAGAUCGCGAAAAGGCCCGAAAAAGUACAUUUAGGUCAAAAUUUGGAGAGGAAAAAAAAAGCAAUAGAAGAAUUCCAUUUUCCUUCCUCAGUCAUCGGAGAGCUCUCUUUGGGCUUUCCGAAAAGGUAUCACAUGCCAAGUUUGGCCUCAUGGUCUAAAAGUUAUAGAGCCAUACAUUUUUAACAAAACAAAAUAGAGAAAAACCAAAAAAAGAGAGGGAUGCAACACGAGGACUUUCCGGGAGGUCACCCAUCCUAGUACUACUCUCGCCCAAGCACCCUUAACUGCGGAGUUCUGAUGGGAUCCAGUGCAUUAGUGCUGGUAUGAUCGCAUGUGUUACUACAUGCAAUGUAAUCGUAUCUAUUCUUUUUUAAAGAUUAUAUGAUCCAUUUGCCGUGGGUCCCACCAGCUAUGUAGGAAUACCCUAUCUUCUUUAUAAGAGCUUUGAUACAUGCAAAAUAUUGGAAAACAAUGUCCGAACAUAUAAUUUUCCCCCCGUAAUAUAGCAAAGAUCACGAAAAGGCCCAAAAAAGUACAUUUAGGUCAAAAUUUGGAGUUGAAAAAAAACAAAAAGAAGAAUUCCAUUUUCCUUCCUCAUUCAUUGGAGAGCUCUCUUUGGGCUUUCCGAAAAGGUAUCACAUGCCAUGUUUAGCCUCACGGUCUAAAAGUUAUAGAGUCAUACAUUUUUAACAAAACAAAAUAGAGAAAAACCAAAAAAACGAGGGAUGCAACACGAGGACUUUCUGGGAAGUCACCCAUCCUAGUACUACUCUCGCCCAAGCACCCUUAACUGCGGAGUUCUGAUGGGAUCCGGUGCAUUAGUGCUGGUAUGAUCGCAUGUGUUACUACAUGCAAUGUAAUCGUAUCUAUUGCUUUUAAAGACUUUAUGAUCCAUUUGCCGUGGGUCCCACCAGCUAUGUAGGAAUACCCUAUCUUCUUUAUAAGAGUUUUCAUACAUGCAAAAUAUUGGAAAACAAUGUCCGAACAUAUAAUUUUCCCCCCGUAAUAUAGCAAAGAUCACGAAAAGGCCCAAAAAAGUACAUUUAGUUCAAAAUUUGGAGUAGAAAAAAAAAUAAUAGAAAAUUUCCAAUUUCCUUCUUCAUUCAUCGGAGAGCUCUCUUUGGGCUUUCCGAAAAGGUAUCACAUGCCAAGUUUGGCCUCACGGUCUAAAAGUUAUAAAGUCAUACAUUUUUAACAAAACAAAAUAGAGAAAAACGGAAAAAGAGGGAUGCAACACGUGGACUUUCCGGGAGGUCACCCAUCCUAGUACUACUCUCGUCCAAGGACCCUUAACUGCGGAGUUCUGUUGGGAUCCGUUGCAUUAGUGCUGGUAUGAUCGCAUGUGUUACUACAUGCAAUGUAAUCGUAUCUAUUCUUUUUUAAAGACUUUAUGAUCCAUUUGCCGUGGGUCCCACCAACUAUGUAGGAAUACCCUAUCUUCUUUAUAAGAGCUUUGAUACAUGCAAAAUAUUGGAAAACAAUGUCCGAACACAUAAUUUUUCCCCCAUAAUAUAACAAAGAUCACGAAAAGGCCCGAAAUAGUACAUUUAGUUCAAAAUUUGGAGUAGAAAAAAAACCAGUUUAAGAAUUCCAUUUUCCUUCCUCAUUCAUCGGAGAGCUCUCUUUGGACUUUCCGAAAAGGUAUCACAUGCCAAGUUUGGCCUCACGGUCUAAAAGUUAUAGAGUCAUACAUUUUUAACAAAACAAAAUAGAGAAAAACAGAAAAAAGAGGGAUGCAACACGAGGACUUUCCGGGAGGUCACCCAUCCUAGUACUACUCUCGCCCAAGCACCCUUAACUGCAGAGUUCUGCUGGGAUCCGGUGCAUUAGUGCUGGUAUGAUCGCAUCUGUUACUACAUGCAAUGUAAUCGUAUCUAUUCUUUUUUAAAGCUUUUAUGAUCCAUUUGCCGUGGGUCCCACCAGCUAUGUAGGAAUACCCUAUCUUCUUUAUAAGAGCUUUGAUACAUGCAAAAUAUUGGAAAACAAUGUCCGAACAUAUAAUUUCCCCCCUCGUAAUAUAGCAAAGAUCACAAAAAGGCUCGAAAAAGUACAUUUAGUUCAAAAUUUGGAGUAGAAAAAAACCAACAGAAAAAUUCCAAUUUCCUCCCUCAUUCAUCGGAGAGCUCUCUUUGGGCUUUCCAAAAAGGUAUCACAUGCCAAGUUUGGCCUCACGGUCUAAAAGUUAUAGAGUCAUACAUUUUUAACAAAACAAAAUAGAGAAAAACGGAAAAAAGAGGGAUGCAACACGAGGACUUUCCGGGAGGUCACCCAUCCUAGUACUACUCUCGUCCAAGGACCCUUAACUGCGAAGUUCUGAUGGGAUCCGUUGCAUUAGUGCUGGUAUGAUCGCAUGUGUUACUACAUGCAAUGUAAUCGUAUCUAUUCUUUUUUAAAGACUUUAUGAUCCAUUUGCCGUGGGUCCCACCAGCUAUAUAGGAAAACCCAAUCUUCUUUAUAAGAGCUUUGAUACAUGCAAAAUAUUGGAAAACAAUGUCCGAACAUAUAAUUUUCCCCCAUAAUAUAGCAAAGAUCACGAAAAGGCCCGAAAAAGUACAUUUAGUUCAAAAUUUGGAGUAGAAAAAAAGACAGUAAAAGAAUUCCAUUUUCCUUCCUCAGUGAUCGGAGAGCUCUCUUUGGACUUUCCGAAAAGGUAUCACAUGCCAAGUUUGGCCUCACGGUCUAAAAGUUAUAGAGUCAUACAUUUUUAACAAAACAAAAUAGAGAAAAACGGAAAAAAGAGGGAUGCAACACGAGGACUUUCCGGGAGGUCACCCAUCCUAGUACUACUUUCGCCCAAGCACCCUUAACUGCGGAGUUCUGAUGGGAUCCGGUGCAUUAGUGCUGGUAUGAUCGCAUGUGUUACUACAUGCAAUGUAAUCAUAUUUCUUGUUAUUUAAAGAUUUUAUGAUCCAUUUGCCGUGGGUCCCACCAUCUAUGUAGGAAUACCUUAUCUUCUUUAUAGGAGCUUUGAUACAUGCAAAAUAUUGGAAAACAAUAUCCGAACAUAUAUCUUUCCCCCCGUAAUAUAGCAAAGAUCGCGAAAAGGCCCGAAAAAGUACAUUUAGGUCAAAAUUUGGAGAAGAAAAAAAAAGCAAUAGAAGAAUUCCAUUUUCCUUCCUCAGUCAUCGGAGAGCUCUCUUUGGGCUUUCCGAAAAGGUAUCACAUGCCAAGUUUGGCCUCAUGGUCUAAAAGUUAUAGAGCCAUACAUUUUUAACAAAACAAAAUAGAGAAAAACCAAAAAAAGAGAGGGAUGCAACACGAGGACUUUCCGGGAGGUCACCCAUCCUAGUACUACUCUCGCCCAAGCACCCUUAACUGCGGAGUUCUGAUGGGAUCCAGUGCAUUAGUGCUGGUAUGAUCGCAUGUGUUACUACAUGCAAUGUAAUCGUAUCUAUUCUUUUUUAAAGAUUAUAUGAUCCAUUUGCCGUGGGUCCCACCAGCUAUGUAUGAAUACCCUAUCUUCUUUAUAAGAGCUUUGAUACAUGCAAAAUAUUGGAAAACAAUGUCCGAACAUAUAAUUUUCCCCCCGUAAUAUAGCAAAGAUCACGAAAAGGCCCAAAAAAGUACAUUUAGGUCAAAAUUUGGAGUUGAAAAAAAACAAAAAGAAGAAUUCCAUUUUCCUUCCUCAUUCAUUGGAGAGCUCUCUUUGGGCUUUCCGAAAAGGUAUCACAUGCCAUGUUUAGCCUCACGGUCUAAAAGUUAUAGAGUCAUACAUUUUUAACAAAACAAAAUAGAGAAAAACCAAAAAAACGAGGGAUGCAACACGAGGACUUUCUGGGAAGUCACCUAUCCUAGUACUACUCUCGCCCAAGCACCCUUAACUGCGGAGUUCUGAUGGGAUCCGGUGCAUUAGUGCUGGUAUGAUCGCAUGUGUUACUACAUGCAAUGUAAUCGUAUCUAUUGCUUUUAAAGACUUUAUGAUCCAUUUGCCGUGGGUCCCACCAGCUAUGUAGGAAUACCCUAUCUUCUUUAUAAGAGUUUUCAUACAUGCAAAAUAUUGGAAAACAAUGUCCGAACAUAUAAUUUUCCCCCCGUAUAUAGCAAAGAUCACGAAAAGGCCCAAAAAAGUCCUUUAAGGUCAAAAUUUGAAGUUGAAAAAAAACAAAAAGAAAAAUUCCAUUUUCCUUCCUCAUUCAUUGAAAAGCUCUCUUUGGGCUUUCCGAAAAGGUAUCACAUGCCAUGUUUAGCCUCACGGUCUAAAAGUUAUAGAGUCAUACAUUUUUAACAAAACAAAAUAGAGAAAAACCAAAAAAACGAGGGAUGCAACACGAGGACUUUCUGGGAAGUCACCUAUCCUAGUACUACUCUCGCCCAAGCACCCUUAACUGCGGAGUUCUGAUGGGAUCCGGUGCAUUAGUGCUGGUAUGAUCGCAUGUGUUACUACAUGCAAUGUAAUCGUAUCUAUUGCUUUUAAAGACUUUAUGAUCCAUUUGCCGUGGGUCCCACCAGCUAUGUAGGAAUACCCUAUCUUCUUUAUAAGAGUUUUCAUACAUGCAAAAUAUUGGAAAACAAUGUCCGAACAUAUAAUUUUCCCCCCGUAAUAUAGCAAAGAUCACGAAAAGGCCCAAAAAAGUACAUUUAGUUCAAAAUUUGGAGUAGAAAAAAAAACAAUAGAAAAUUUCCAAUUUCCUUCUUCAUUCAUCGGAGAGCUCUCUUUGGGCUUUCCGAAAAGGUAUCACAUGCCAAGUUUGGCCUCACGGUCUAAAAGUUAUAAAGUCAUACAUUUUUAACAAAACAAAAUAGAGAAAAACGGAAAAAGAGGGAUGCAACACGUGGACUUUCCGGGAGGUCACCCAUCCUAGUACUACUCUCGUCCAAGGACCCUUAACUGCGGAGUUCUGUUGGGAUCCGUUGCAUUAGUGCUGGUAUGAUCGCAUGUGUUACUACAUGCAAUGUAAUCGUAUCUAUUCUUUUUUAAAGACUUUAUGAUCCAUUUGCCGUGGGUCCCACCAACUAUGUAGGAAUACCCUAUCUUCUUUAUAAGAGCUUUGAUACAUGCAAAAUAUUGGAAAACAAUGUCCGAACAUAUAAUUUUUCCCCCAUAAUAUAACAAAGAUCACGAAAAGGCCCGAAAAAGUACAUUUAGUUCAAAAUUUGGAGUAGAAAAAAACCAGUUUAAGAAUUCCAUUUUCCUUCCUCAUUCAUCGGAGAGCUCUCUUUGGACUUUCCGAAAAGGUAUCACAUGCCAAGUUUGGCCUCACGGUCUAAAAGUUAUAGAGUCAUACAUUUUUAACAAAACAAAAUAGAGAAAAACAGAAAAAAGAGGGAUGCAACACGAGGACUUUCCGGGAGGUCACCCAUCCUAGUACUACUCUCGCCCAAGCACCCUUAACUACAGAGUUCUGCUGGGAUCCGGUGCAUUAGUGCUGGUAUGAUCGCAUCUGUUACUACAUGCAAUGUAAUCGUAUCUAUUCUUUUUUAAAGCUUUUAUGAUCCAUUUGCCGUGGGUCCCACCAGCUAUGUAGGAAUACCCUAUCUUCUUUAUAAGAGCUUUGAUACAUGCAAAAUAUUGGAAAACAAUGUCCGAACAUAUAAUUUCCCCCCUCGUAAUAUAGCAAAGAUCACAAAAAGGCUCGAAAAAGUACAUUUAGGUCAAAAUUUGGAGUAGAAAAAAAAACAAUAGAAGAAUUCCAUUUUCCUUCCUCAGUCAUUGGAGAGAUCUCUUUGGGCUUUGCGAAAAGGUAUCACAUGCCAAGUUUGGCCUCACGGUCUAAAAGUUAUAAAGUCAUACGUUUUUAGCAAAAAAAAAAGAGAAAAACCGAAAAAAAGAGGGAUGCAACACGAGGUCACCCAUUCUAGUACUACUCUCGCCCAAGCACCCUUAACUGCGUAGUUCUGAUGGGAUCUGAGGCAUUAGUGCUUGUAUGAUCGCAUCUGUUACUACAUGCAAUGUAAUCGUAAAUAUUCUUUUUUAAAGACUUUAUUAUCCAUUUGCCGUGGGUCCAACCAGCUAUGUAGGGAUACCCUAUCUUCUUUAUAAGAGCUUUGACACAUGCAAAAUAUUGGAAAAGAAUGUCCGAACAUAUUCUUUUCCCCCCGUAAUAUAGCAAAGAUCACGAAAAGGCCCGAAAAUGUAUAUUAAGUUCAAAAUUUGGAGUAGAAAAAAAAAACAAUAGAUGAAUUCCAUUUUCCUUCCUCAUUCAUUGGAGAGCUCUCUUUGGGCUUUCCGAAAAGGUAUGACAUUUCAAGUUUGGCCUCAUGGUCUCAAAGUUAUAAAGUCAUACAUUUUUCACAAAAAAAAAAAAAAGAAAAACCAAAAAAAAAAAGAGGGAUGUAACACGAGGACUUUUUUGGGAGGUCACCCAUCCUAGUACUACUCUCGCCCAAGCACGCUUAACUGCGGAGUUCUGAUGGGAUCCAGUUCAUUAGUGCUGGUAUGAUCGCAUGUGUUACUAUAUGCAAUGUAAUCGUAUCUAUUCUUUUUUAAUGACUUUAUGAUCCAUUUGCUGUGAGUCCCACCAGCUAUGUAGGAAUACCCUAUCUUCUCUAUAAGAGCUUUGAUACAUGCAAAAUAUUGGAAAACAAUGUCCGAACAUAUAGUUUUCCCCCCGUAAUAUAGCAAAGAUCACGAAAAGGCCCGAAAAGGUACAUUUAGUUCAAAAUUUGGAGUAGAAGAAAAAACAAUAGAAGAAUUCCAUUUCCCUUCCUCAGUCAUCGGAGAGCUCUCUUUGGGCUUUCCAAAAAGGUAUCACAUGCCAAGUUUGGCCUCACGGUCUAAAAGUUAUAGAGUCAUACAUUUUUAACAAUACAAAAUAGAGAAAAACCGAAAAAAAAGAGGGAUGCAACACGAGGACUUUCCGGGAGGUAAUCCAUCCUAGUACUACUCUCGCCCAAGCACCCUUAACUGCGGAGUUCUGAUGGGAUCCGAUGCAUUAGUGCUGGUAUGAUCGCAUGUGUUACUACAUGCAAUGUAAUCGUAUCUAUUCUUUUUUAAAGACUUUAUGAUCCAUUUGCCGUGGGUCCCACCAGCUAUGUAGGAUUAGCCUAUCUUGUUUAUAAGAGCUUUGAUACAUGCAAAAUAUUGGAAACCAAUGUCCAAACAUAUAAUUUUCACCCCGUAAUAUAGCAAAGAUCACGAAAAGUCCCGAAAAAGUACAUUUAGGUCAAAAUUUGGAAUAGAAAAAAAAAAAAUAGGAGUAUUCCAUUUUCCUUCCUCAUUCAUCGGAGAGCUCUCUUUGAGCUUUCUGAAAAGGUAUCACAUGCCAAGUUUGGCCUCACGGUCUAAAAGUUAUAGAGUCAUACAUUUUUAAAAAUACAAAAUAGAGAAAAACCGAAGAAAAGAGGGAUGCAACACGAGGACUUUCCGGGAGGUAAUCCAUCCUAGUACUACUCUCGCCCAAGCACCCUUAACUGCGAAGUUCUAAUGGAAUCCGGUACAUUAGUGCUGGUAUGAUCGCAUCUGUUACUAUAUGCAAUGUAAUCGUAUCUAUUCUUUUUUAAAGACUUUAUGAUCCAUUUGCCGUGGGUCUCACCAGCUAUGUAGGAAUACCCUAUCUUCUUUAUAAGAGCUUUGAUAUAUGCAAAAUAUUGGAACACCAUGUCCGAACAUAUAAUUUUUCCCGUGUAAUAUAGCAAAGAUCAAGAAAAAGCCAAAAAAGUACAUUUAGGUCAAAAUUUGAGUAGAAAAAAACAAAUAGAAGAAUUCUAUAUUCCUUCCUCAUUCGUCGGAGAGCUCUCUUUGGGCUUUCCGAAAAGGUAUCAUAUGCCAAGUUUGGCCUCGCGGUCUAAAAGUUACGGAGUCUAACAUUUUUAACAAAACAAAAUAGAGAAAAACCGAAAAAAGAGGGAUGCAACACGAGGACUUUCCGGGAGGUCACCCAUCCUAGUACUACUCUCGCCCAAGCACCCUUAACUGCGGAGUUCUGAUGGGAUCCGGUGCAUUAGUGCUGGUAUGAUCGCAUGUGUUACUACAUGCAAUGUAAUCGUAUCUAUUCUUUCUUAAAGACUUUAUGAUCCAUUUGCCGUGAGUCCCACCAGCUAUGUAGGAAUACCCUAUCUUCUUUAUAAGAGCUUUGAUACAUGCAAAAUAUUGGAAAACAAUGUCCGAACAUAUAGUUUUCCCCCCGUAAUAUAGCAAAGAUCACGAAAAGGCCCGAAAAAGUACAUUUAGUUCAAAAUUUGGAGUAGAAAAAAAAACAAUAGAAGAAUUCCAUUUUCCUUCCUCAUUCAUCGGAGAGCUCUCUUUGGGCUUUCCGAAAAAGUAUCACAUGCCAAGUUUGGCCUCACGGUCUAAACGUUAUAGAGUCAUACAUUUUUAACAAUACAAAAUAGAGAAAAACCGAAAAAAGAGGGAUGCUACACGAAGACUUUCCGGGAGGUAAUCCAUCCUAGUACUACUCUUGCCCAAGCACCCUUAACUGCGGAGUUCUGAUGGAAUCUGGUGCAUUAGUGCUGGUAUGAUCGCAUGUGUUACUACAUGCAAUGUAAUCGUAUCUAUUCUUUUUUAAAGACUUUAUGAUCCAUUUGCCGUGGGUCCCACCAGCUAUGUAGGAAUACCCUAUUUUCUUUAUAAGAGCUUUGAUACAUGCAAAAUAUAUGAAAAAAACGUUCGAACAUAUAAUUUUCCCCCCGUAAUAUAGCAAAGAUCACGAAAAGGCUCGAAAAAUUACAUUUAGUUCAAAAUUUUUAGUAGAAAAAACCCAAUAGAAGAAUUCCAUUUUCCUUCCUCAGUCAUCGGAGAGCUCUCUUUGGGCUUUCCGAAAAGGUAUCACAUGCCAAGUUUGGCCUCACGGUCUAAAAGUUAUAGAGUCAUACAUUUUUAACAAAACAAAAUUGAGAAAAACCGAAAAAAAGAGGGAUGCAACACGAGGACUCUCCAAAAGGUAACCCAUCUUAGUACUACUCUCGCCCAAGCACCCUUAACUGCGGAGUUCUGAUGGGACCCGGUGCAUUUGUGCUGGUAUGAUCGCAUGUGUCACUACAUGCAAUGUAAUCGUAUCUAUUCUUUUUUAAAGACUUUAUGAUCCAUUUGCAGUGGGUCCUACCAGCUAUGUAGGAAUACCCUACCUUCUUUAUAAGAGCUUUCAUACAUGCAUAAUAUUGGAAAACAAUGUCCGAAGAUAUAAUUUUCCCCCCAUAAUAUAGCAAAGAUCACGAAAAGGCCCGAAAAAGUACAUUAUGUUCAAAAUUUGGAGUCGAAAAAAAACCAAUAGAAGAAUUCCAUUUUACUUCCUUAGUCAUCGGAGAGCUCUCUUUGGGCUUUCCGAAAAGGUAUCACAUGCCAAGUUUGGCCUCACGGUCUAAAAGUUAUAGAGUCAUACAUUUUUAACAAAACAAAAUAGAGAAAAACGGGAAAAAAGAGGGAUGUAACACGAGGACAUUCCGGGAGGUCACCCAUCCUAGUACUACUCUUGCCCAAGCACCCUUAACUGCGGAGUUCUUAUGGGAUCCGGUGCAUUAGUGUUGGUAUGAUCGCAUGUGUUACUACAUGCAAUGUAAUCGUAUCUAUUCUUUUUAAAGACUUUAUGAUCCAUUUGCCGUGGGUCCCACCAGCUAUGUAGGAAUACCCUAUCUUCUUUAUAAGAGCUUUGAUACAUGUAAAAUAUUGGAAAACAAUGUCCGAAGAUAUAAUUUUCCCCCGUAAUAUAGCAAAGAUCACGAAAAGGCCCGAAAAUGUACAUUAAGUUCAAAAUUUGGAGUAGAAAAAAAAAACAAUAGAAGAAUUCCAUUUUCCUUCCUCAUUCAUCGGAGAGCUCUCUUUGGGCUUUCCGAAAAGGUAUGACAUUCCAAGUUUGGCCUCAUGGUCUCAAAUUUAUAAAGUCAUACAUUUUUCACAAAAAAAAAAUAAAGAAAAACCAAAAAAAAAAAAGAGGGAUGUAACACGAGGACUUUUUUGGGAGGUCACCCAUCCUAGUACUACUCUCGCCCAAGCACGCUUAACUGCGGAGUUCUGAUGGGAUCCGGUUCAUUAGUGCUGGUAUGAUCACAU